GCAGGAGGGAAAGACAGCUUGCAAAUCCCAAAAAGGAUUUGAGGAAAGUCCGAACUUCACAAGGGCAAGAAGCCGGGUAAUUCCCGGGCGCGUAAAGCGACGGAAAGUGCAGAAGAAAACAAACCGCUGGGAAACCAGUAAGGGUGAGAAGGUGCGGUAAGAGCGCACCAGCACAAUUGGUAACAUUGUGGCUAGAAAACCCCUUCUGAAGCAAGGUUAAGCAGAGCCAGAAUGCCCUGUUCGAAAAAGCUCGGGUAAACCGCUUAGAGAAAUAGCUGUUCUAGACAGAAUUCGGCUUACCCUCCUGCUUUC
rnacentral:RNase_P_RNA from 1 species